rnacentral:rRNA from 1 species
AUAGCGUAUAUUAAAGUUGUUGCAGUUAAAACGCUCGUAGUCGAACUUCGGGCCUGGCGGGAUGGUCCGCCUUACGGUGUGUACUGUCCGGCCGGGCCUUACCUCUUGGUGAGACCUCAUGCACUUUAUUGGGUGUGGGGUGGAACCAGGAAUUUUACCUUGAGAAAAUUAGAGUGUUCAAAGCAGGCAAACGCCCGAAUACAUUAGCAUGGAAUAAUAGAAUAGGACGUGUGGUUCUAUUUUGUUGGUUUCUAGAGUCGUCGUAAUGAUUAAUAGGGAUAGUUGGGGGCAUUAGUAUUCAGUUGCUAGAGGUGAAAUUCUUGGAUUUACUGAAGACUAACUACUG